AGCCUUAAAAACUCUUUAAACACAAAGGCUUGGUCCUGGCCUUAACAUCAAUUCCCACUUAAUUUACACAUGCAAGUUUCCGCACCCCCGUGAAAACGCCCUUAAACCCCUUCAGGGAUAAGGAGCUGGUAUCAGGCACAAAAAAUUGCCCAAAACACCUAGCUAUGCCACGCCCACAAGGGUCACAGCAGUGAUUAAUAUUAGACAUAAACGACAGUUUGAUUUAGUUAAAGUGAAAUAGAGCCGGCAAAACUGGUGCCAGCCGCCGCGGUUACACCACGAGGCUCAAAUUGAUUUGUACCGGCGUAAAGCGUGAUUAAAGCCUUAAAUAUUUUAGGGUUAAAACUGGACUAAGCCGUGACAUGCUUGUCCAUAAGAAACUCACACAACGAAAGUUGCCCUAAUUCAACUGACUUGAAUUCACGAUAGCUAGGGCCCAAACUGGGAUUAGAUACCCCAUUAUGCCUAGCCCUAAACUUUAACUUACACCCCCUCACCCACACGCCAGGGAACUACGAGCAACGCUUAAAACCCAAAGGACUUGACGGUACCCCACAUCCACCUAGAGGAGCCUGUCCUAUAAUUGAUGACCCCCGCUAAACCUUACCACUUUUAGUCUAUCAGCUUGUAUACUUCCGUCUUCAGCUUACCCCGUGAGCGUAAUUCAGUGAGCUUAAUGCCUACUCCGCCGAUACGUCAGGUCAAAGUGCAGCUAAUACAGUGGAAAGAGAUGGGCUACACUCUCUAACCUAGAGAAUACGAAAGACUAUGCUGAAAUCAUAUCAGAAGGCGGAUUUAGAAGUAAAAAGGAAGUAAAGAGUCCUUUUUAACCUGGCCCUGGGGUGUGUACACACCGCCCGUCACCCUCUUCAAAAACACCAACUAGUACAUAACACAUUUUUUAACAAAGAAGAGGUAAGUCGUAACAUGGUAAGUAUACCGGAAGGUGUGCUUGGAUACAAAAUAU
rnacentral:ncRNA from 1 species